rnacentral:lncRNA from 1 species
UCCUGGGGGGGGGUUCCCUAGUCCUGGAGGGGCCCGGCUGCUGCAGGUGGAGCUGCCAGGAUCCCCCCCCUGCUGAAAAAUCCCGUUUUUUUUUUCUGGUGUUUCCCACAUUAUGCAGAUUUCUGGGCAGAUCCAAGGUUCCCACGUCCCUGCUGCCAAACCAGUGUCCCCAGCACCAUCCCCAUGUCCCCACUGCCAGCCCCAUGUCCCCACUGCCAGCCCCAUGCCCCUCCUGGUGCCCUGUUUUUGGGGCGCUGCUGGAGCUGCAGAGCUGCAGACAAAGAGGGGAUGAGAUUUGGGCAUCGCCCACCAGAACAAAGGACCAGGUGGCCCUGGCUUUGCUGAGUAGAGAAAAACCAGGAGAUUUGGCUCCCACCAGGCUGGUCCCAAUGGCAGGUGGCUGUUUUGGGGCACCGUGACCCCAAAGCAGCUCAGCCCCCAGCCCUGACCCCACUGUAGGUCCAUCUCUGCAUGGGAAAUGCCUCCUGCCUUUGUUCUCCUGCUGUCCCAAGUGAUCAACAGCAGCGUGGAGCCUCUCAGGGUGUCCCCAUUGUGUCCCCAAAGCCGGGGGUUUUGGGGGCUCACAGCAGCCCCCUGCCUCGGGGACCACUCUCCAGACUAAGGAGAGCCCCCCCACCCUAUUGCCCUGAGCUGAGGGUGGGGGGUGCCUCACAGGGCGGGGGGCGGCUCAGCCCCGGUGGGUGAUGUGGGGUGUAGGUGAGGGGCACCGAGUGCCACAGCCCCACUGCCCCCCCAGCCCCCUCCCAUCUCCUCGGGUAUGGACGACCACAAGUCCUGCACCAACCGCUGCCAGGCAACUGGGGGGGUUGCUAGGAGACCGGUUGCUAGGAGACAGGCUGGGGACCCCCCCCUCCCCCACAUCCCCCUCCCCAACAUCCAUCCUGGGGCCUGGUGGGCGGGGGGGUUGCAGGCAGACAAGGCUUCUCACCACUGCCUGGCCUCAUUGUCAUGAACCCAGCUCCGUCUGUCUGUCCGUCCAUCCGCUGCCACCAUCGAUGUGACAGGUUCAUUCAGAUGGAGGGACAGGGCAGCUCGGGGGGGGCCGCUCCUUUCCGGGGUGCCGGAUGAGGCUGUGGAGCGGUGGAGGGGCCCCGCCGCCCCCCGGUGCCCCCCGGUGCCCCCCGGCUGGCCGAAGGUGGCACUGGGGGGGUGGACCCGCGGAGGGGUGGCACCCACCCCUGACCUCACCCCUGCCCCACCCGAAGGGCAGAGGGAAAACCCCUCCAGCCGCGGUGUUUGGGGCAGCAGGGAGGUGCC